GGUCCAUAACCUAUCUGUGUAUUUCUGUUGUGGUUUCGAUUUUGCCAUUAAACACAUAUGUCUGCUACUCCUAGCAUGGACCAGGGUAAGGAGAAUCCCCUUAACCCACCCAGACAACAGACAAUGAUUUACAUCUGUGGAGAGUGCCAUGCAGAAAAUGAAAUUAAGGCCAGAGAU